AGGAUCCACUUCAUGUUUUCAAUAAAUGAGAAAAGACAGAAGAACAAUUCUGGCUCUUUCGCUUCUGAUCUGCAGACCACGCUGAUGCUAGGACAUCACAGUACUACAGGGAGCCUCCCUGCAGCUCUCAGUGCUUGCUCUACCGCCUCUGGGCCUUUCGAAGAGACAGACGUGGAUGUGCUGUAAAGACGAUGACUGUUUUCCCCAGCACUGUGCUCACUUCCUCCUCCGUGGCUGCUAAAUCCAGAGCCAUUUGCCUGCAUUCCAGAGGACGAUAAACUAUCGAUCUUCCUCUCUCUUCCAGAGUGCAUGGAUCUGCAUGGAGGACAAAGGUCUCUCCCCACAUUCCAUGGGAAAUGGACAAUAAAACUUCCCUGUGAACAAA